UCCUACGGGAGGCAGCAGUGGGGAAUAUUGCACAAUGGGCGAAAGCCUGAUGCAGCGACGCCGCGUGGGGGAUGACGGUCUUCGGAUUGUAAACCCCUUUCAGUAGGGACGAAGCGCAAGUGACGGUACCUGCAGAAGAAGCACCGGCCAACUACGUGCCAGCAGCCGCGGUAAUACGUAGGGUGCGAGCGUUGUCCGGAAUUACUGGGCGUAAAGAGCUCGUAGGCGGUUUGUCGCGUCGUCCGUGAAAACUCGGAGCUUAACUCCGAGCUUGCGGGCGAUACGGGCAGACUUGAGUACUACAGGGGAGACUGGAAUUCCUGGUGUAGCGGUGAAAUGCGCAGAUAUCAGGAGGAACACUGGUGGCGAAGGCGGGUCUCUGGGUAGUAACUGACGCUGAGGAGCGAAAGCAUGGGUAGCGAACAGGAUUAGAUACCCUGGUAGUCCAUGCCGUAAACGGUGGGCGCUAGGUGUGGGGUCCUUCCACGGAUUCCGUGCCGUAGCUAACGCAUUAAGCGCCCCGCCUGGGGAGU
rnacentral:rRNA from 1 species